UGGGGUUAGUCGGACCCUAAGGCGAGGCCGUAUAAGGCGUAGUCGAUGGAUGUCAGGUUGAUAUUCCUGAACCGAUUAAUAAUCGUUACCAGAAGCGGAGGGACGCAGGAGGAUAGGCAUGCAAGCUGCUGGAUAUGCUUGUUGAGGCUCGUAGCCAGUUUGAGUUGGAAAAUCCGCUCAAGCGUUUUAACGUAAGGAGCCAAGGGAGGUUCUACGGAACCGAAGAUGUUGAUUUCACACUGCCAAGAAAAGCUUCGCUCUCGAGAUUAUUAACCGUCCGUACCGUAAACCGCCACAGGUAGGUUGGUAGAAAAUACUGAGGUGCGCGAGAUAACUCUCUCUAAGGAACUCGGCAAAAUAGCCUCGUAACUUCGGGAGAAGAGGUACCCUGGUAGAGUGUAGAAACUUGCUUUUGAAGCUCGAUAGGGUCGCAGCGAAUCGAUCCAGGCGACUGUUUACCAAAAACACAGGUCUCUGCUAAGUCGUAAGACGAUGUAUAGGGGCUGACGCCUGCCCGGUGUCGGAAGGUUACGCGGACAUGUCAGACAUUAGUCGAAGCAUAGAAGCUAAGCCCCGAUGAACGGCGGCCGUAACUAUAACGGUCCUAAGGUAGCGAAAUUCCUUGUCAGGUAAGUUCUGACCCGCACGAAUGGCGUAACGAUUUGGGCGCUGUCUCGGCGAGAGGCUCGGCGAAAUUGGAUUAUCCGUGAAGAUACGGAUUACGUGUACCAGGACAGAAAGACCCUAUUGAGCUUUACUGUAGCUUGAAAUUGAAUUCGGGUUCUCAUUGCGCAGUAUAGGUGGGAGACAUUGAGUCAAGGACUUUGGUUCUUGAGGAGUCAUCGUUGAGAUACCACUCUGUGAAAAUUUGGAUUCUAACCUUGAACCUUCAAAAAACAAGGCAAGGAACAGUUUCUGGUAGGCAGUUUGACUGGGGCGGUCGCCUCCUAAAAAGUAACGGAGGCGUUCAAAGGUUCCCUCAGGUUGGUCGGAAAUCAACCGUUGAGUGCAAUAGCAAAAGGGAGCUUGACUGUGCGACAUACAAGUCAAUCAGGUACGAAAGUAGGAUAUAGUGAUCCGGUGGUUCUGCAUGGAAGGGCCAUCGCUCAUCGGAUAAAAGUUACCAUAGGGAUAACAGGCUUAUCUCCCCCAAGAGUCCACAUCGACGGGGAGGUUUGGCACCUCGAUGUCGGCUCGUCGCAUCCUGGAGCGGUAGUACGUUCCAAGGGUUGGGCUGUUCGCCCAUUAAAGCGGCACGCGAGCUGGGUUCAGAACGUCGUGAGACAGUUCGGUCCAUAUCCGGUAUACGCGCAAGAGAUUUGAGUGGAGUCUUCCUUAGUACGAGAGGACCGGGAAGAGGGGACCUCCAGUGUACGGGUUAUCCUGCCAAGGGUAAACGCCCGGUAGCUGUGUUCCAAGCGGAUAAGUGCUGAAAGCAUAUAAGUACGAAGCCCACCGUAAGAUGAGAUCUCUCAUAGCAUAAGCUAGUAAGUCCCGUUGUAGAUGACGACGUUGAUAGGACACAGAUGUAAGAGUGGCAACAUUUUCAGUCGAGUGUUACUAAUCGGACGAGGGCUUUUUCU
rnacentral:rRNA from 1 species